rnacentral:rRNA from 1 species
ACGGGAAGAGCCCAAACCAACAAGCUUGCUUGUUGGGGUUGUAGGACACUCUAUACGGAGUUACAAAGGACGACAUUAGACGAAUCAUCUGGAAAGAUGAAUCAAAGAAGGUAAUAAUCCUGUAGUCGAAAAUGUUGUCUCUCUUGAGUGGAUCCUGAGUACGACGGAGCACGUGAAAUUCCGUCGGAAUCUGGGAGGACCAUCUCCUAAGGCUAAAUACUCUCUAGUGACCGAUAGUGAACCAGUACCGUGAGGGAAAGGUGAAAAGCACCCCGGAAGGGGAGUGAAAUAGAACCUGAAACCGUGUGCUUACAAGUAGUCAGAGCCCGUUAAUGGGUGAUGGCGUGCCUUUUGUAGAAUGAACCGGCGAGUUACGAUUUGAUGCAAGGUUAAGCAGUAAAUGUGGAGCCGUAGCGAAAGCGAGUCUGAAUAGGGCGUUUAGUAUUUGGUCGUAGACCCGAAACCAGGUGAUCUACCCUUGGUCAGGUUGAAGUUCAGGUAACACUGAAUGGAGGACCGAACCGACUUACGUUGAAAAGUGAGCGGAUGAACUGAGGGUAGCGGAGAAAUUCCAAUCGAACCUGGAGAUAGCUGGUUCUCUCCGAAAUAGCUUUAGGGCUAGCCUCAAGUGAUGAUUAUUGGAGGUAGAGCACUGUUUGGACGAGGGGCCCCUCUCGGGUUACCGAAUUCAGACAAACUCCGAAUGCCAAUUAAUUUAACUUGGGAGUCAGAACAUGGGUGAUAAGGUCCGUGUUCGAAAGGGAAACAGCCCAGACCACCAGCUAAGGUCCCAAAAUAUAUGUUAAGUGGAAAAGGAUGUGGCGUUGCCCAGACAACUAGGAUGUUGGCUUAGAAGCAGCCAUCAUU